UUUUUCUCUCUCUCUCUCUUAAAAGAACUCUCUCUACAACGUUUCUCUAACGACUCUCUCUGCUGCGCGUCCUGACCCUGCUCCACUAGAUGGAGCCACCAGGAGGCCUCCGACCGGCGCAUAUGGAAGAACAAAAUCAACCUAAGGGUGAGACUACUCAUAUGAAUGAGAAUUCCUAGGGAAAUAUUACUAUGCUAAGAUGAUUACAUCUCCGUCAAGUUCUUCUCCGAAUACCUUCCGUCAAGAGAAAGAGAAUGUGAUAGCAAGACAGAGAACCCAUAACGAUGUGGUUGCAAAAAUGGUCUCUGGACUUCAAACAAGAGGAGAUUUUACCUGUUGCACCUGCAUUGGUGCUCCUGCCAGGUUUACCCUUCAAUAUGCAUGAUUGACACUACAUUAAGUAACUACUAAGCUCUGUAGGUACUCCUUUAACUCUAGAUGCUGCUAUAAUUGGGAGAACACGACCUAGCAUGACCAAAAUUCGAGUUGAAGUUGAUCUACUUAAACCUCUGCCACAAAGUGUUUUUGUUGGUCAAGAGUAUGAGAAAUCUCCACUCAAGAGUUACACUCAAAUAUUGGAGUACGAGGGGGUUACUAAAUAUUGUAAGCACUGUAGAAAGAUAGGCCACUAUAUGAUCAGUUGCAGGGUUCUUGAAAAGAAAAAAGCUAAACACAAGGAGGAAGGUGAACGAUUAGAGUUGGAAAAGGAAACACAAUUGGACAAUGGGAUGGAAGCUAGCAAACAAUCUCCUACUGAUGACAGGAAGAAACAAAACUCUCCAAGCUUGGAGAGUUCUUAAAACCAGCAUAAGGAGAAUAGUGAGGAAACAAAAACUGUUAAUACCAAUGAAAAGAAAGUUAUCAAGAAGAAGAAGACUAAACAAAUGCCAAAAAAGAAAAGCAAAGUGCUCUUCAAACAUAUUCAAAGAAGUUGCAAAAAGAAACCAAUAACUACCUCUAUUGCAAAGCAGAAUGAACACUCUAAGCAUGAUAUAGGAAAAAAUAUUCUUAGCCCUGUUAAUGAUGGCAGAGAACAUCACCUUGAUCAAAGCAAUGAGAUUGAACUCAAUAAUGAUAGCAUAACCAAGGAGAAGGCUUCUAAUCUAAACAAGGAGCAUCCAGACCAGAUUAACUCCAGACAUGAUACCAAUCAGGAAGGCAAGAUCACGGAGAAAAAUAAUAUUAAACAAUACUGUUGUGAUUCAAACUCAUUAAUUGUUCCUACUAAAAUAAGGAAUCAGCCUGGAUUGCAGUUGGUUAUGGACCUAUACAGGAGCAAGGAGAAUGGAGACAACAAUAAUAUUGUAGAAGACAAUAAUGACAAUCUUCUGAUGGUUGAACAUACUGACAGUCAAAAUGAGGUGAGAUAUGAGAAGACUGACUAGCAAAAUCAAAAUGAAAAAUACCAACACAUGACAAAAAGAGGAAGAAGUGAAACCAGAAAAAGUGGUAGAAGGCAUAGAAACAAAACCCAACCUUUUCUGAGAAGGAGCCAAAAGGAGGAUACCACCCCAAAAUGUUCUAAUGAUUAGUGAUAUUUUCUGGAAUAUUAGGGGGGUUAGAUCCAAAAUAUCCAUUCACAUGCUGAAGAAAUUGAUCGACAUUAACAAUACUCAAUUUGUGGCUAUCUUCGAACCUUUUAGUACUAAGGUAAAGGUUGAUGGCUACAGAAAAUUCCUUGGUUACCAACAUUGUUGUUUCAACAGAAAUGAUCAAAUUUGGUAUUUUGGAAUGCUUACAAUUCCACAAAGAUCAUUACUGAUAGUGAUCAACAUAUUACUAUCAAGAUGUAUAAAGCUAUUGGCAAUUAAGACAUUUGCAUUACUCUAGUAUAUGCUAAAUGCAAGUCUUAUGAUAGAAAGGACCUUUGGUCUGCUCUAGAAUAAGACAAUCUUGUUGUGGAUGUCCCUUAGUGUAUUGGGGGUGAUUUUAAUGUUAUCUUGGAUCUUAAUACAUAACUAGGGGGUAAGUUACACAGAAUCCAUAGAAGCUUCGAUUUUCAAACUUGUAUGGACAACUGUGGGGUUACUGAUAUUGGGUAUAGUGGUUCUAACUAUACUUGGUGUAACAACAGAAAGCCAGGCAAAAGAAUCUGGAAAAGGCUAGACAGAGUUUUAGUUAAUAACUUGUGUGAUCAACCUUUUCAAAAAUGCUCCAUUAGGCACCUAGCUAGGACUGAUUCUGAUCGUAGGCCUCUACAUAUGAAGAAUCUGAAUGGCAACCAACAUCAUAUUAAGUACUUCUGAUUUCUUAACUGUUGGGUGAACCAAGAAUGUUUCUUUGACAUUGUCAAGUAAGUUUGAGGUAUGAAUGUGAUGGGAAAUCCUAUGUGGAUCCUUCAAUCUAAGCUUAAGGCACUCAGUAAGAGAUUGAGUCAAUGGUCUCGGAAUGAUGUAUGGGAUAUAAUUGAAGCACUCAUUAGUUGGGAAGAAAGACUCCAAGAUUUGGAGGACAUUGAUAUUGAGAAUAACUCUGAAAAGAGUAGAGAGGAUGUCAACAAAGCUCAUGCUCAGUAUAUCAGAUGGCUAAGUUUUCAAGAUUAUCUACUCAAACAAAAAUCUCAGAAAAAAUGGUUGAAGAGGGAGAUAAUAAUACCAAAUAUUUCCACUCCAUUUUAAGGGAAAGAAGGAGAAGGAAACAGAUUGUAGAAUCAAAACUAAACAAUGGUAAAUGGAUCAAGGGGAUGAAGAGAUAGCCAGAAAAGUUGUUAACUACUUUCAAUCCUUAUUCAACCUUACUCUUCCGGCCAUCAAUCUUUCUACUCUGGAUUGCAUCCCAUUUUAUAUCUCUGAGAAAAAAAAUGCUACGCUAAGCAGAAUGUCAGAUGAUAAAGAAAUCAAAGAAGCGGUCUUUAGCUUGAGUGCACAUAGUAUUGUAGGUCCGGAUGGCUUCAAUGGUACAUUUUUCAGAGUUGUUGGGACAUCAUCCAUAAGGAGGUAACUGCCUUUGUGAUGGAAUUCUUCAGGGGAAAUAUUUGACUAAAUUCUACUCUCAUACAUGUCUUGUUUUAAUUCCUAAAGUUGAUAACCCAGUACAUUUGCUGACUUUAGACCAAUUAGUCUUUCCAACUUUACUAGUAAGAUUAUUUCUAAAACUAUUUCUAUUAGAUUAAAUACCCUUAUAUACAAAUUAGUUUUACCUAAUCAAAGUGGAUUUGUUAAGGAUA